GACGAACGCUGGCGGCGUGCCUAAUACAUGCAAGUCGAGCGGACCGGGUUGGGGCUUGCCUUGAUUCGGUCAGCGGCGGACGGGUGAGUAACACGUGGGCAACCUGCCCGCAAGACCGGGAUAACUCCGGGAAACCGGAGCUCAUACCGGAUAACACCGAAGCCCGCAUGCUCUUCGGCUGAACUGCGGCCUUUGGGCUGUCACUUGCGGAUGGGCGCGCGGCGCAUUAGCUAGUUGGUGAGGCCACGCCUCACCAAGGCGACGUUGCGUAGCCGGCCUGAGAGGGUGGCCGGCCACACUGGGCCGGAGCCCCGGCCCAGACUCCUCCGGGAGGCAGCAGUAGGGAAUCUUCCGCGAUGGCCGAAAGCCUGACGGGGCGGCGCCGCGUGAGCGCAGAAGGCCUUCGGGUCGUAAAGCUCUGUUGUGAGGGACGAAGGAGCGUCGUUCGAAGAGGGCGGCGCGGUGACGCUACCUGACGAGAAAGCCCCGGCUAACUACGUG
rnacentral:rRNA from 1 species